rnacentral:lncRNA from 1 species
UGGGACCAAAAGAGAAUGUAUAUAAAUAUAUAAGAAUGUUGAUACAAUGCUGGUCAUGAAUGAAUGACAGAAAUAUGGUCCCCCCAUUCCUUAUUCUCCCCAUUUUGGUGGGGAAGGGGAAUGAAUGAAAGGACUGUUACAGAAGAAGGGAACCCCCUUCAAGGAGAUUUGAACCUGGGACCUGACCAACAUCUAAAAGUUGAGGAGUGCAGAGACGUGCACACAAGGAUAGUGAAGCUCCACUGCCCGCUGACCCCGCAGUCCCAGCUGAGGGUUGCCUGACUGUAGUAUUGCGCAGUCUGUGUUGCU